rnacentral:rRNA from 1 species
GUGCUAAGGUAGCAUAAUCAUUUGUUUUUUAAUUGAUAACUGGAAUGAAAGGUUGCUCUUAUUUUAAUUUUUGUAAAACUUAAAUAAUAAAUUAAAGUUAGGGUAAGAAUUCUUUAAUUUUCUAGGGGACGAUAAGACCCUAGAAGCUUAAUAUAGAGUUGUACUUAUAGAAAAAGUUGAUUAUUUAUUUUACUGGGGCGGUAGUAAUAAACUUACUAUUUGCUUAAAAAAGAUCUUUAAAAUUAAGAUAAUUGGGAUUAGUUACUCUAGGGAUAACAGUGCAAUUUUUUUAGAAAGACCUUAUUGAUGAAUAAGUUUGCAACCUCGAUGUUGAAUUAAGAUGUCUAAGUGAGGUAAAAGGUACUAAAGAAGGUUUGUUCCCAACCUUUAAAGUCUUACAUGAUCUGAGUUCAAACCG